rnacentral:sRNA from 1 species
ACGCUUGUUAUAUCGCUUGGAUAUGGUA